GGGAGAUGAGAUAGGUUUAGGGGUGAAACGCCAAUCGAACUGAGAGAUAGCUCGUUCUCUCCGAAAUGCAUUUAGGUGCAGCCUUAAGAGUUUAAUUGCGGGGGUAGAGCACUGAAUGGUCUAGAGGGCAUAUUGCUUAUCGAAGCCAACCAAACUCCGAAUACCGUAAUUUAUAUCUUAGGAGUGAGACUAUGGGUACUAAGAUCCAUGGUCAAAAGGGAAACAACCCAGACCGUCAGCUAAGGUCCCAAAUUAUAGCUAAGUGGGAAAGGAGGUGGAGAUUCCCAAACAACCAGGAGGUUGGCUUAGAAGCAGCCAUACCUUUAAAGAGUGCGUAAUAGCUCACUGGUCGA
rnacentral:rRNA from 1 species